CCUUGUGCAGUCGACGAACUCUGGUAUUGAUUGGUGCUUGCAUCAUGAUUUACAUUUGAGUGAGUGGCGAACUGGUGAGUAACACGUGGGAAACCUGCCCAGAAGCGGGGGAUAACACCUGGAAACAGAUGCUAAUACCGCAUAACAACUUGGACCGCAUGGUCCGAGCUUGAAAGAUGGCUUCGGCUAUCACUUUUGGAUGGUCCCGCGGCGUAUUAGCUAGAUGGUGGGGUAACGGCUCACCAUGGCAAUGAUACGUAGCCGACCUGAGAGGGUAAUCGGCCACAUUGGGACUGAGACACGGCCCAAACUCCUACGGGAGGCAGCAGUAGGGAAUCUUCCACAAUGGACGAAAGUCUGAUGGAGCAACGCCGCGUGAGUGAAGAAGGGUUUCGGCUCGUAAAACUCUGUUGUUAAAGAAGAACAUAUCUGAGAGUAACUGUUCAGGUAUUGACGGUAUUUAACCAGAAAGCCACGGCUAACUACGUGCCAGCAGCCGCGGUAAUACGUAGGUGGCAAGCGUUGUCCGGAUUUAUUGGGCGUAAAGCGAGCGCAGGCGGUUUUUUAAGUCUGAUGUGAAAGCCUUCGGCUCAACCGAAGAAGUGCAUCGGAAACUGGGAAACUUGAGUGCAGAAGAGGACAGUGGAACUCCAUGUGUAGCGGUGAAAUGCGUAGAUAUAUGGAAGAACACCAGUGGCGAAGGCGGCUGUCUGGUCUGUAACUGACGCUGAGGCUCGAAAGUAUGGGUAGCAAACAGGAUUAGAUACCCUGGUAGUCCAUACCGUAAACGAUGAAUGCUAAGUGUUGGAGGGUUUCCGCCCUUCAGUGCUGCAGCUAACGCAUUAAGCAUUCCGCCUGGGGAGUACGGCCGCAAGGCUGAAACUCAAAGGAAUUGACGGGGGCCCGCACAAGCGGUGGAGCAUGUGGUUUAAUUCGAAGCUACGCGAAGAACCUUACCAGGUCUUGACAUACUAUGCAAAUCUAAGAGAUUAGACGUUCCCUUCGGGGACAUGGAUACAGGUGGUGCAUGGUUGUCGUCAGCUCGUGUCGUGAGAUGUUGGGUUAAGUCCCGCAACGAGCGCAACCCUUAUUAUCAGUUGCCAGCAUUAAGUUGGGCACUCUGGUGAGACUGCCGGUGACAAACCGGAGGAAGGUGGGGAUGACGUCAAAUCAUCAUGCCCCUUAUGACCUGGGCUACACACGUGCUACAAUGGAUGGUACAACGAGUUGCGAACUCGCGAGAGUAAGCUAAUCUCUUAAAGCCAUUCUCAGUUCGGAUUGUAGGCUGCAACUCGCCUACAUGAAGUCGGAAUCGCUAGUAAUCGCGGAUCAGCAUGCCGCGGUGAAUACGUUCCCGGGCCUUGUACACACCGCCCGUCACACCAUGAGAGUUUGUAACACCCAAAGUCGGUGGGGUAACCUUUAUGAACCAGCCCCUUAU
rnacentral:rRNA from 2 species